rnacentral:lncRNA from 1 species
UUUAAAAUUUUCAAUUGCUGAUAGUUACUAAAUCUAAUUAUUGCUUCUCAUGUAAUAGUUUCAUAUAUUUGUACACUAUCUAGCUGUCUAUUUUUUGCAACUUAUAAAUUAGAUAAUGUAUAUUGAGUUCCUUUUAAAAAAACUAUUAUCUACGGGUUUUGCUUCUAUCUUAUUUACAUGUUUACUACCAAAUGUUUGAACUAAAUUUUGAAAUUCUAAAUUAAACUUUGGAUAAUAUUUAUCAGACACUUUAACUAUGCACAAGUUCACCCUUCUC